rnacentral:misc_RNA from 1 species
GAAAUGCGAUAAGUAAUGUGAAUUGCAGAAUUCAGUGAAUCAUCGAAUCUUUGAACGCACAUUGCGCCCCCUGGUAUUCCGGGGGGCAUGCCUGUUCGAGCGUCAUUUCACCACUCAAGCCUCGCUGGGUAUUGGGCGACGCGGUCCGCCGCGCGCCUCAAAUCGACCGGCUGGGUCUUCCGUCCCCUCAGCGUUGUGGAAACUAUUCGCUAAAGGGUGCCGCGGGAGGUCACGCCGCAAAACAACCCCAUUUCUAAGGUUGACCUCGGAUCAGGUAGGGAUACCCGCUGAACUUAAGC